UCCUUCGGGAGCUUGCUCCGAGCGUAUUACGCGAGGAGUGGCGGACGGGUGAGUAACACGUAGGAACGUACCCUCAACACGGGGAUAACCCAUCGAAAGAUGGACUAAUACCCGAUGGUCUCCCAAGAGUAAAGCUCCGGCGGUUGAGGAUCGGCCUGCGGGCUAUCAGCUAGUUGGUAGGGUAAAGGCCUACCAAGGCUUUGACGGCUAGGGGGCGUGAGAGCGCGGCCCCCCACAAGGGCAUUGAGACACGGGCCCUACACCUACGGGUGGCAGCAAGCGGGAAUCAUGCGCAAUGGGCGAAAGCCUGACGCUGCGACGCCGCGUGCGGGAAUGAAGGCCGAUAGGUCGUAAACCGCUGUGGAGUGGGAAGAUAAUGACGGUACCACUCUAGAAAGCAGUUGCUAACCACGUGCCAGAAGCCUCGGUCAUACGUGGGCUGCAAGCGUUGCCCGGAGUUAUUGGGCGUAAAGGGUUGGGUAGGCUGUUUAGUGCGUCUCUGGUAAAAUCUCACGGCUCAACCGUGAACCUGCUAGGGAUACGGCUAAACUAGAACAUCGUAGGAGCUGGCGGAACUGUGCAAGUAGGGGUAAAAUCCAUUGAUAUGCACAGGAACACCGAAGGCGAAGGCAGCCAGCUGGGCGAUUGUUGACGCUGAACACCAAAGCUAGGGUAGCGAAACGGAUUAGAUACCCGUGUAGUCCUAGCCGUAAACGAUGGACACUAGCUAGUC
rnacentral:rRNA from 1 species